UACGAAGGGGGCUAGCGUUGCUCGGAAUCACUGGGCGUAAGGCGCACGUAGGCGGCUUUUUAAGUCAGGGGUGAAAUCCUGGAGCUCAACUCCAGAACUGCCUUUGAUACUGAGAAGCUUGAGUCCGGGAGAGGUGAGUGGAACUGCGAGUGUAGAGGUGAAAUUCGUAGAUAUUCGCAAGAACACCAGUGGCGAAGGCGGCUCACUGGCCCGGUACUGACGCUGAGGUGCGAAAGCGUGGGGAGCGAACAGG
rnacentral:rRNA from 1 species